rnacentral:rRNA from 1 species
GGCCUACCAUGGUGGUAACGGGUGACGGGGGGUUAGGGUUCGAUUCCGGAGAGGGAGCCUGAGAAACGGCUACCACAUCCAAGGAAGGCAGCAGGCGCGCAAAUUACCCAAUCCCGACACGGGGAGGUAGUGACAAUAAAUAACAAUACCGGGUUCUUUCGGACUUCGUAAUUGGAAUGAGUACAAUUUAAAUCUCUUAACGAGGAACAAUUGGAGGGCAAGUCGGGGGCCAGCACCCGCGGUAAUUCCAGCUCCAAUAGCGUAUAUUAAAGUUGUUGCAGUUAAAAAGCUCGAAUUUGAAUUUCGGGGUUAGUAGGUUGGUCAUGCCUCGGGCGAGUACUGGUCUCACUGAUUCCUCCUUCCUGAUGAGCCGUAAUGCCAUUAAUUUGGGGGUGCGAGGAAUCUGGACUGUUACUCUGAAAAAAUUAAAAGGGUUAAAGCAGGCUUCCUCUUGAUUACUUUAUUAUGGAAUAAUGAAGUAGGACGUUCGAUCCUAUUUUGUGGGUUUCUAGGAUUGACGUAUUGAUAAUUAGGGAUAGUUGGGGGGCAUUAGUAUUCAAUUGUGAAAGGUGAAAUUCUUGGAUUUAUUGAGAACUAACUACUGCGAAAAGCAUUUGCCAAGGAUGUGUUUCAUUAAUCAAGAAAAAAGUUAGGGGAUAUCAAACACAUCAGAUACCGUCCUAAUCUCUAACCAUAAACUAUGCCCACUAGGGAUCGGAUGAUGUUAAUUUUUUAAUGACUCAUUCGGCGCCUUAC